AAUAAAAAUAUGGCACAGAAUGUUAAUUUUUAAAAAAUCUGUAAUGAAGACUAGUGAUUAAUUUGAUAUUUUGGAACACUAAAGGUGUGGCUAUAAUGAGUGUCACCACUUUAUGCUUUACGAUCAAGCUAUAUUGGUUUUGUGGACUGUAUGUAUAUGGACUGUAUACAAACAGGCCAAAGUACCGCAAGAUUUCCUUCGUCUAAAAAGGAUUUCCAUUCGAGAUUCAAAAAAUAUCGGAUUUAUUGAGCUCACGAAUGAACCGUUCUCUGGCAACAUUUCAAUUAUAGAAACAUAUAGAACCAUGUUAUCAGAUUGACCUUAUGUGCAAUUAAAUUAGAAUGGUAAUUGCAUUGGUGCCGAACUAUCAAACAGAGAAACAUGGAUGGAUUUAUGAAGUAUUAGGGGAUCAUAUUUUUUUCUUUUUUCUUUUUAAUUUAAUUAUGGUGAAACAUUGAAUAGGAUAUGCUCUAAUUUGUUUCUAUUUGGAAUGUUUCUAUAUCAAAUUAAGAUUUAAAAAUAAUGUUUUAAAUAACUUGGAUAUCUUUGAUACUAUUGCACAUUUUUAUCAAAUCUAGUUAUUCAAGAUAUGAGAAGCCUGUCAUGUCUCGAUUGAAAUUUUAAUGUUAACAUGCUAAUAAGAAUGUACCAUUAAAUUAUAAGUACUUGAUCUGAUAUAAAUUAGACAUGUUUAAAUGCUAAAGUAACAAUGUGUAUAUACGUUUACCAUUUAACUGUUCACUAGCUUAUCAAGAUUUAUCUUCUUUAUUGAAAUAAAAUCAUGAUAACCAAACUCAAUUGCGAAAUAUAGUUGUGUGUACUCAUAAUAGAAAAGCAAGUGGUAUUUCAAAAUAUAUAAUUAUCAUACAUAAUGGAAUUUAUACUUGAAUAUAAUUAAUAUUUG